UCAGCCCAGAGCCUGACGCGGGGCUCGAACUCCCGGACCGCGAGAUCGUGACCUGGCUGAAGUCGGACGCUUAACCGACUGCGCCACCCAGGCGCCCCUGCUCUGUGCAGAUUGGCCCACGUGCUAUCUGGAUGGCACCUGGGGGGAGCGGAGAACUGAAGGGUGACAGAGGAGAGAGAGGGGCAUCCAGCAGGAAUUUCCCAUGGGCCGGGGGGACAUGGUGGGAGGCGAAUGGCCCUGAGCUGCCUUGCACACGUUCUCCUGAGAGGAAAAGCUGCAGUUGAUGGAGGGGGAAGCUACUGUAGAACCAGGAGGUCAUGGAUGGCCUCUGUGGAGAUGACAUUUACGGUGAAAUCUGAAGGACAAGAAGGAGUUGGUCACGUGAAGAUCACAAGUAGGAGCACUCAACCAGAGGACACAGCGGUGCAAAGGCAUGGAAGCAAUCCCAUGACAAGCAAGGAAGGAAGGGCACAAGAUGUGAUGUCAGAACAUCACAGAUAUUAUAGAGGCUGCUUGCUCCCUCCCCCGAGUCCAUCCCUGGCCUCCACUUCCUGGAUAACGGCACUGUUGGGAGCUUGGUGUGAUCAGCACAGGGGUCCAGGGCUUGGGCUCCGGAGCCAAACUACUAAGGUUUGAUUCCUACUGCUCCUACUUCCUAACUGUCGAGUCCUGCGGCCCAGCAUAACUUCCAAAGGGGCCGAGAAGUGUGAUCCGCCCACAUCCCAGAAGGACGACCGGACCGUGGGAAUGCUUCUAAUGUGCUGCCAUUACAUAUGGUGUUUGCUGUAAGUUUCUCGUAGAUAACCCUUGAUCACGUUAAGAAAUGCGUUCCUAAGUUUGUUUAGAGUUUAAGAGUGUGUUCUUAUCAUGAAUGAGAAUUAAAUUUUAUCAAACGACUUUA